AACGAACGCUGGCGGCGCGCCUAAUACAUGCAAGUCGAGCGAGAAGACGUAGCAAUACGUUUGUAAAGCGGCGAACGGGUGAGGAAUACAUGGGUAACCUACCCUCGAGUGGGGAAUAACUAGCCGAAAGGUUAGCUAAUACCGCGUACGCUCCUUGGACUUCGGUUCAGGGAGGAAAGCGAUACCGUGGGUAUCGCGCUCUUGGAUGGGCUCAUGUCCUAUCAGCUUGUUGGUGAGGUAACGGCUCACCAAGGCUUCGACGGGUAGCUGGUCUGAGAGGACGAUCAGCCACACUGGCACUGCGACACGGGCCAGACUCCUACGGGAGGCAGCAGUGGGGAAUUUUGGACAAUGGGCGCAAGCCUGAUCCAGCCAUGCCGCGUGUGUGAAGAAGGCC
rnacentral:rRNA from 1 species